AUGACACGACACUGAAGUGACAAGCGAACCAGUGUAGAUUGAUUUGGGACAUUUCACAGGACAGAAAGACAUUCUUCCAGGAAUGACAUGAGACAGGCGUGGGGCAUCAUGAACAAAAUGGCAGGAGCACAAGUCAAAAUUAAAAAUAAUCUUGCUACAAGAGACGAAAAAACAUUGGCCAACGAGUUCAAUGAUUUCUAUUGUCGCUUCGACACGAAAGAUUUUAAUUAUCUAAGACUCAAAGCCCUUGAGGAUGUCAAUGUUAACAACUGUUUAGAAUUAGCGAUUACUAAAGAGCAAGUUUGUAACAUUUUCAAAAACGUCAACCAAAUGAAAGCUGGUGGGCCUGAUGGAAUAAAAGGGCGAAUCUUAAAAGAAUGUGCUGAACAACUAGCUGAACCUUUCCAAGAUAUUUUUUCUACUUCAUUACUAAACCAUGAGAUACCACCUGUGUGGAAGUCAUCUAUAAUUGUACCUGUGCCAAAGGUUUCCAAACCGAAGGAAAUGAAUGACUAUAGACCUGUUUCACUUACUUCCAUUGUGUCUAAAUGUUUAGAAAAAUUGGUUAAAAUGUUUCUUCUGAAUGAUCUUUGUAAUAAGUUAGACCCUUUACAAUUUGCUUACCAAAAGGGUAAAGGUGUAGACAAGUGAUUCCCAAAGUGGUCUAUAUAGACCCCCAGGGGUCUACGAAGACCUCCAAGGGGUCCACGAAAGUAAAAAACUAAAUUGGGGGUCCAUGAGAUGCCCACGGAGGUCUACGAUAACAGAUUUCAUUUAAGCACAUUUUAAGUUCACAUUCCACUAAUGUAAUUAUUGCAUACACUAAUAUAUGAUUUGUACCUUCGUUAAUCCUUUAAAUAUUUAUCCUGCUAUUCAAAUGAAAAAUUGUUGUAAUCAAUUUCAAUACUUAUUUAAAUAGCUUAAUUUGGUCUACAUGUAACUAAUAUUUAGAACAAAAAAAAAAAAAAAAAAGAAA